CCCGGCCCGGCCGCAGAGCCGCCCGCUCGCGGUGCCUACUCACCACAGCUUCCUCUUUAAGGGCAUCAGACUGCCCCUGUUGGAGGCGGUCACCCCUAUGGCCAUCUGCAAGACAGUCAGAUGAAAAGCCUGUUUUUAAAAGGAGUCAGUCAGCAGCUUCCAGAUUAGGGUAAGCACCCAGAUAUCCCACUGUUAUCUCUGACCCUUUAGCUGAGCUAAGGCCAUAAUUUAUACAGUAGAUAUCUCCUGCCCAAGAGCGAGAUACACUCUUCUUCACUACAGAAAGCUGAAAACUUUUUACACUUUUUGAACCUAGCAUACAUUUAAAAUAAUUAAUGUCCUAUUUCAUUACUUCCAUUUAAAAUAGUUGAUUAAUUGUGUUGGUUUUUUUCAGUACAAAACCAUGCAGAGCCAUAAUGGUUUCUUAAUUUUAUUGGUAACUUAACUGCAGAUUUUGUUUUAGAACAAACUCUGUAAUACGUCUGUUCCUUACAAUCCCCGAUGCCCCUGUUUCUUCUGAAGCCCGUCUGUGCUUUGACUUUCUAAUGCACUUCUUGCCUCCAGAAGAACAGCCCACUUGUUCAGAAAGUUACGACGUUAGUAUGACUGCUACACCUGAGUAGAUGUGUGGCUGGCCCAAAUUCCGCUUGUGAUAGUACGUUUAUACUAGCAUAGUGAGUCAUGUAGCAGAUAGAUGGACAGGCCCUGAGGAGGAGGAGAUUAAUGCCAGCAUGUGUGAGCUGAUCUUGACUCAUGCAUUGGUGUUUGUAGGAAAGUAGGCUGUUGUCAACAGUGGGAAACAGACUGGUGGCAACUGAGAGCAUGCUAUUGAUGCAGCUGUAUGUUGGGAGCUCCCAUCAGCUGCAAAGCAGAUAAGAAUCAUAGAAUUAUGAAAUCAUAGAGUGGUUUGGGUUGGAAGGGACAUUUAAGAUCAGCUAGUUCCAACCCCCUUGCUAUAGGCAGGGACACGUCCCACUAGACCAGGUUGUUCAGAGUCCCAUCCAUGAUAAUAAGGGAAUGUAACAAUGUCCUAACACUGAUUUCAUCCUAAACUACAUCAGUCAUUUUUUUCAAUCUUAAUAUUGUCAGAACAGGAGACUGCAGGUAGUGCAAAGCAAGACUUUUCAGUAUUAUCUACUUCUGCUGAGUUUGUGUUCAAUUUAAGUAAGCCCAUCUUUCUGGCCAUGUAGUGCCAGUUAUCAUUAGCUGCCAUCCUUUCCAAACUCUCACCUGUGUCACUUAGUCUUGACUGAACUCACAGAAGGUGGAGAAAUUUAGGUCUGACUCAAAAGACUCUAUGGAAACAUUACAGAAAUGCAGUUUUUAAAGUUUGGGCUGCAGGAAAUUGUUUUCUGCAGUGGGGAGAGGAAAAAGAAGCUAUGUAUGUAACUGCCUUAGCUGUGCUGGCAAACAAGCAAAAAUACCAGUUUUUGCUCAUUUAACUUUUUUUUUUUUAGCAAGCCUGUAUAAGCUACACUGUCUGGCAAAAAUAAAUAAAUAAAUAUUUUACUAGAAUAAAUGGCAUCCUUAUUGGUGCUGUAGUCACUACAUCAGCAUUUUUGAGGGUAGAUUAGGCCUUAAUAAUAGAUUUUGAGCAGUCAAGUGCAUUCAUUUUUGAGGUUGUCAAAAUCAUAUUUGAGCUAAAGCAGAUGCUAAAUAAACUUGUUGCUGGUUUUAUGGCAUAUUAAUCUUUUAUUAAUCUUUUAUUUGCAUUUUAGAAUAGCCUUAACCUGAGCUUUAGUCUGUAUAAAAAAGGGAUUUUUCAUAACAUUACGUCAUCCAUUCCUUCUGUAUUUCAAUACUGUUGCUACAGUGUCGAUGGAAGAAUCAACAUUUUGUUUGUUAGAAUAUAUCUGUUCUCCUUGCUGACUUUUACUCUAAUGAUUGAUUAAAAAAUCUUGAGAUAUGCA